UUGCAUCUUUUCCAAUAUGUCUACUGUGGCCAGGCCUUGGACUAAUAGUUUUCUGCAUUGUGAAUUCCACUGCGGAAGUAUAUAGCUGGGAGCCAAAGAAACCCGCUCUAAGGAAGAACGUGCCAGAGCCACCUCGAGCUGUUUCAAGUGUGCAACACAGGCAAAUCGCCUGCGCAAGCUGGGGCACGUUCCCCUGACACCAAGCGGACUAGCACGAGAGGAAUAACGCAAUUACUCAAGACAACUAGAAAACAGUCACCAAGCAAUUAAUCCAGGUUAGAAAUCCUCUGGAAACAGAAUGGAACCCAUUGCCUCUUUGAACAGAGCAUGUUGUACUCCACUACAGUUGCAGCUGCAAAUCCACAGCUUGCAG